CACGUCCUUAGUUGCCAUCAUUCAGUUGGGCACUCUAGGGAGACUGCCGGUGAUAAGCCGCGAGGAAGGUGUGGAUGACGUCAAGUCCUCAUGGCCCUUACGGGAUGGGCUACACACGUGCUACAAUGGCGGUGACAGUGGGACGCGAAGGAGCGAUCUGGAGCAAAUCCCCAAAAGCCGUCUCAGUUCGGAUUGCACUCUGCAACUCGAGUGCAUGAAGGCGGAAUCGCUAGUAAUCGUGGAUCAGCAUGCCACGGUGAAUACGUUCCCGGGCCUUGUACACACCGCCCGUCACACCAUGGGAGUUGGUCUUACCCGACGGCGCUGCGCCAACCGCAAGGAGGCAGGCGACCACGGUAGGGUCAGCGACUGGGGUGAAGUCGUAACAAGGUAGCCGUAGGGGAACCUGCGGCUGGAUCACCUCCUUUCUA
rnacentral:rRNA from 1 species